AUGACUAACAUUGUGUUAUGUGGUGGGAUGAGGAAAGAUCCUAAGGUUGGAGGUGGUGUCGGUAGAACUCGAGAAGUUGCCAAGAACCGAACCCAACACUCAUCAAGGUAAAUAGACGAAUGGAGUAUGCUAGUUCGGGAGCUUUAGGAGCUUUAGACGUUGGAUUCACUAUUUGCGUUUUUGUACUUUAAAUGACUACUUGUGGAUUUGAAUGAUUGUAACCAUGACUGACAUUUAUUUGGGUAUUCGUAACUAGGGG
rnacentral:sRNA from 1 species